rnacentral:rRNA from 1 species
GAUGAACGCUGGCUACAGGCUUAACACAUGCAAGUCGAGGGGAAACGACGGGGAAGCUUGCUUCCCCGGGCGUCGACCGGCGCACGGGUGAGUAACGCGUAUCCAACCUGCCUCUGACUGAGGGAUAACCCGUCGAAAGUCGGCCUAAUACCUCAUGGCAUCGUCUGCGGGCAUCCAACGACGAUUAAAGAUUUCAUCGGUCAGGGAUGGGGAUGCGUCUGAUUGCUUGUUGGCGGGGUAACGGCCCACCAAGGCUACGAUCAGUAAGGGUUCUGAGAGGAAGGUCCCCCACAUUGGGACUGAGACACGGUCCAAACUCAUACCGGAGGCAGCAGUGAGGAAUAUUGGUCAAUGGGCGGGAGCCUGAACCAGCCAGGUAGCGUGCAGGAUGACGGCCCUAUGGGUUGUAAUCUGCUUUUAUGCGGGGAUAAAGUGAGGGACGUGUCCUUCAUUGCAGGUACCGCAUGAAUAAGGACCGGCUAAUUCCGUG